CCCUUAGAUGUUCUGGGCUGCACGCGCGCUACACUGAUGCGCUCAACGAGUUUACGACCUUGCCCGGAAGGGUUGGGUAAUCUUUUUAAAACGCAUCGUGAUGGGGAUAGAUUAUUGCAAUUAUUAAUCUUUAACGAGGAAUUCCUAGUAAGCGCGAGUCAUCAGCUCGUGCUGAUUACGUCCCUGCCCUUUGUACACACCGCCCGUCGCUCCUACCGAUGAAUCGUCCGGUGAAGUUCAUGGAGUGGUGGUUGUUCCAGCUGCUGUCGAAGUGAAAUGGACCUCACGAUUUAGAGGAAGGAGAAGUCGUAACA
rnacentral:rRNA from 1 species